rnacentral:rRNA from 1 species
UGGGCAACCUGCCCCUGGCUCUGGGAUAACUCCGGGAAACCGGAGCUAAUACCGGAUACGAGACCGAUUGGCAUCUUUACGGUCUGGAAAGUUUUUCGGCCAGGGAUGGGCUCGCGGCCUAC